rnacentral:rRNA from 1 species
UACGAAGGGGGCUAGCGUUGUUCGGAAUCACUGGGCGUAAAGCGCACGUAGGCGGAUCUUUAAGUCAGGGGUGAAAUCCCGAGGCUCAACCCCGGAACUGCCUCCAAAACUGCUGGUCUGGAGGUCGAGAGAGGUGAGUGGAAUUCCGAGUGUAGAGGUGAAAUUCGUAGAUAUUCGGAGGAACACCAGUGGCGAAGGCGGCUCACUGGCUCGAUACUGACGCUGAGGUGCGAAAGCGUGGGGAGCAAACAGG